AAAUAAGAAACAAAAAAUUGUAUUUAGUUUCGACCUAAAAUUUUGAUGUUACAUAUACAUCCUUAUUUA
rnacentral:tRNA from 1 species